AUUCCCAGUCACCCACUCACUCAGAAAGCCGGGAGUCAUCGGACACCUUGCUGGUCAGAGGUCCUGGGGGUGGUUUUGAACCAUCAGAGCUUGGACUUUUCUGACUUCCCCAGCAAGGAUCUUCCCACUUCCUGCUCCCUGUGUUCCCACCCUCCAGUGUUGGCACAGGCCCACCCCUGGCUCCACCAGAGCCAGAAGCAGAGGUAGAAUCAGGCGGGCCCCGGGCUGCACUCCGAGCAGUGUUCCUGGCCAUCUUUGCUACUUUCCUAGAGAACCCGGCUGUUGCCUUAAAUGUGUGAGAGGGACUUGGCCAAGGCAAAAGCUGGGGAGAUGCCAGUGACAACAUACAGUUCAUGACUAGGUUUAGGAAUUGGGCACUGAGAAAAUUCUCAAUAUUUCAGAGAGUCCUUCCCUUAUUUGGGACUCUUAACACGGUAUCCUCGCUAGUUGGUUUUAAGGGAAACACUCUGCUCCUGGGUGUGAGCAGAGGCUCUGGUCUUGCCCUGUGGUUUGACUCUCCUUAGAACCACCGCCCACCAGAAACAUAAAGGAUUAAAAUCACACUAAUAACCCCUGGAUGGUCAAUCUGAUAAUAGGAUCAGAUUUACGUCUACCCUAAUUCUUAACAUUGCAGCUUUCUCUCCAUCUGCAGAUUAUUCCCAGUCUCCCAGUAACACGUUUCUACCCAGAUCCUUUUUCAUUUCCUUAAGUUUUGAUCUCCGUCUUCCUGAUGAAGCAGGCAGAGCUCAGAGGAUCUUGGCAUCACCCACCAAAGUUAGCUGAAAGCAGGGCACUCCUGGAUAAAGCAGCUUCACUCAACUCUGGGGAAUGCUACCAUUUUUUUUCCAAAGUAGAAAGGAAGCACUUCUGAGCCAGUGACCACUGAAAGAUGAACACUCUUCCUGAUCCUCUCCUCUAGAAUUCAUCUCCUCCUGCUAGCAGCCGCGUCCUGGAGGAGCAGCGGAUGGGGAAUCCAUUCUGUUUCUUCCUGGUGUUUAGGAAGUUGCCCCACACACAGAUUGCCCCGAUGUCCAACCAGAAGAAGUGAAACUGCUGCUGGGUCUGGAGAGGUGAAGACCCGUGGCCAGCUUCUGUUGUUGCCAUCGGCCAUUGCUUUUUGUUCGCUUGCUUUUGGUUUUGCAAGAAGAGCGGCCUCUGUCUCUGAUCUGCUUCAAAUCAUCAUUCCAUCAGUGACAGAAGUGGCUGUUCCAUCAGUGGUCGCAGCCAGUUCAGCUCCUGCAUCCAUCCCCAAGUGUUCUGAGUGGAAUUUGAGGCCUCCCCAACCACCUACCAAAAAAGGAGGGUGAAAUGAAAGGAAGAAGAAAAACUCAGCAUUCUUUCCUCUGACAAAGAGUAAAACGACAAGGAAUAUCGGCCUGAAUUCUCUUCCCAAGAAGAAAGAAAGCACACCAACGCAGGCAUUUGUCUUCUGUCCAUGGUGCUGAAGUUUAUUCACUUUCAAACCACUUUCAGUAACAGCAAAUUCUUUAGAAAAGGAAAAUACAGGGAAAGGGAUAAACCUCACUGACUUGGAGGAAAUCAAGAGGAGUGAGCACAGCAUCAGAAAGCCCCCUGGCCCCAGACUGCACCCGCUUUCCUGGCCCUACCUUGAAAUCCAUCAGGUCUGCGUUGGACACGGCAUUGUACAUGGGAUUAGCUCUG
rnacentral:lncRNA from 1 species